rnacentral:rRNA from 1 species
AGCGAACGCUGGCGGCAGGCCUAACACAUGCAAGUCGAACGAACCUUUCGGGGUUAGUGGCGGACGGGUGAGUAACACGUGGGAACGUGCCUUUAGGUUCGGAAUAACUCAGGGAAACUUGUGCUAAUACCGAAUGUGCCCUUCGGGGGAAAGAUUUAUCGCCUUUAGAGCGGCCCGCGUCUGAUUAGCUAGUUGGUUGAGGUAAUGGCUCACCAAGGCGACGAUCAGUAGAUGGUCUGAGAGGAUGAUAAGCCACAUUGGGACUGAGACACGGCCCAAACUCCUACGGGAGGCAGCAGUGGGGAAUCUUGCGAAAUGGGCGAAAGCCUGACGAAGCAAUGCCGCGUGAAUGAUGAAGGUCUUAGGAUUGUAAAAUUCUUUCAACGGGGACGAUAAUGACGGUACCCGGAGAAGAAGCCCCGGCUAACUUCGUG